CGCUGGCGGCGUGUCUAAUACAUGCAAGUCGAACGCACUCUCGUUUAGAUUGAAGGAGCUUGCUCCUGAUUGAUAAACAUUUGAGUGAGUGGCGGACGGGUGAGUAACACGUGGGUAACCUGCCCUAAAGUGGGGGAUAACAUUUGGAAACAGAUGCUAAUACCGCAUAAAACCUAACACCGCAUGGUGUAGGGUCGAAAGAUGGUUUCGGCUAUCACUUUAGGAUGGACCCGCGGUGCAUUAGUUAGUUGGUGAGGUAAAGGCUCACCAAGACCGUGAUGCAUAGCCGACCUGAGAGGGUAAUCGGCCACACUGGGACUGAGACACGGCCCAGACUCCUACGGGAGGCAGCAGUAGGGAAUCUUCCACAAUGGACGAAAGUCUGAUGGAGCAACGCCGCGUGAGUGAAGAAGGUUUUCGGAUCGUAAAACUCUGUUGUUGGAGAAGAAUGUAUCUGAUAGUAACUGAUCAGGUAGUGACGGUAUCCAACCAGAAAGCCACGGCUAACUACGUG
rnacentral:rRNA from 1 species